ensembl:miRNA dre-mir-222a dre-mir-222a
GCCGGUGGCUUGUUCGGGUGCUCAUGAGAUGCUCAGUAGUCAGUGUAGAUCCUGUGUCACAAUCAGCAGCUACAUCUGGCUACUGGGUCUCUGAUGGCAUUUUCUGCU